rnacentral:rRNA from 1 species
AUUGAACGCUGGCGGCAUGCUUUACACAUGCAAGUCGAACGGUAACAGGUUAAGCUGACGAGUGGCGAACGGGUGAGUAAUGCAUCGGAACGUGCCCGAUCGUGGGGGAUAACACUUCGAAAGAAGUGCUAAUACCGCAUACGAUCUGAGGAUGAAAGCGGGGGACCGUAAGGCCUCGCGCGAUCGGAGCGGCCGAUGUCAGAUUAGGUAGUUGGUGGGGUAACGGCUCACCAAGGCGACGAUCGAUAGCUGGUCUGAGAGGAUGAUCAGCCACACUGGAACUGAGAUACGGUCCAGACUCCUACGGGAGGCAGCAGUGGGGAAUAUUGGACAAUGGGGGGAACCCUGAUCCAGCAAUGCCGUGUGUGUGAAGAAGGCCUGAGGGUUGUAAAGCACUUUAGUUGGGGAGGAGUUUGCAUUGGUUAAGAGCUGAUGCAGGGGACGUUACCCAAAGAAUAAGCACCGGCUAACUCCGUGCCAGCCGCCGCCGUAAAAC